rnacentral:rRNA from 1 species
AACAGCUCAAUUUGAAAUCUGGCUCUUUUAGAGUCCGAGUUGUAAUUUGCAGAGGGCGCUUUGGCUUUGGCAGCGGUCCAAGUUCCUUGGAACAGGACGUCACAGAGGGUGAGAAUCCCGUACGUGGUCGCUGGCUAUUGCCGUGUAAAGCCCCUUCGACGAGUCGAGUUGUUUGGGAAUGCAGCUCUAAAUGGGAGGUACAUUUCUUCUAAAGCUAAAUAUUGGCCAGAGACCGAUAGCGCACAAGUAGAGUGAUCGAAAGAUGAAAAGCACUUUGGAAAGAGAGUCAAACAGCACGUGAAAUUGUUGAAAGGGAAGCGCUUGCAGCCAGACUUGCUUACAGUUGCUCAUCCGGGUUUCUACCCGGUGCACUCUUCUGUAGGCAGGCCAGCAUCAGUUUGGGCGGUAGGAUAAAGGUCUCUGUCACGUACCUCCUUUCGGGGAGGCCUUAUAGGGGAGACGACAUACUACCAGCCUGGACUGAGGUCCGCGCAUCUGCUAGGAUGCUGGCGUAAUGGCUGUAAGCGGCCCGUCUUGAAACACGGACCAAGGAGUCUAACAUCUAUGCGAGUGUUUGGGUGUCAAGCCCGAGCGCGUAAUGAAAGUGAACGGAGGUGGGAACCCGCAAGGGUGCACCAUCGACCGAUCCUGAUGUCUUCGGAAGGAUUUGAGUAAGAGCAUGGCUGUUGGGACCCGAAAGAUGGUGAACUAUGCUUGAAUAGGGUGAAGCCAGAGGAAACUCUGGUGGAGGCUCGCAGCGGUUCUGACGUGCAAAUCGAUCGUCAAAUUUGGGCAUAGGGGGCGAAAGACUAAUCGAACUAUCUAGUAGCUGGUUCCUGCCGAAGUU